rnacentral:rRNA from 1 species
GAUGAACGCUGGCGGCGUGCCUAAUACAUGCAAGUCGAGCGAACAGACGAGGAGCUUGCUCCUUUGACGUUAGCGGCGGACGGGUGAGUAACACGUGGGUAACCUACCUAUAAGACUGGGAUAACUUCGGGAAACCGGAGCUAAUACCGGAUAAUAUUUCGAACCGCAUGGUUCGAUAGUGAAAGAUGGCUUUGCUAUCACUUAUAGAUGGACCUGCGCCGUAUUAGCUAGUUGGUAAGGUAACGGCUUACCAAGGCAACGAUACGUAGCCGACCUGAGAGCGUGAAGGGCCAAACCAGAACUGAGACCCGGUCCAGACUCCUACGGGAGGCACCAGUAGGGAAUCUGCCGCAAUGGGCGAAAGCCUGACGGAGCAACACCGCGUGAGUGCUGAAGGUCUUCGGAUCGGAAAACUCUGUUAAUAGGGAAGAACAAACGUGUACGUAACUGUGCACGUCUUGACGGUACCUAAUCAGAAAGCCACGGCUAACUACGUU